rnacentral:rRNA from 1 species
GGGCCCGCACAAGCAGUGGAGUAUGUGGUUUAAUUCGAAGCAACGCGAAGAACCUUACCUGGGCUUGACAUCCCUGGAAUCGAGUAGAGAUACUUGAGUGCCUUCGGGAAUCAGGUGACAGGUGGUGCAUGGUUGUCGUCAGCUCGUGUCGUGAGAUGUUGGGUUAAGUCCCGCAACGAGCGCAACCCCUAUUGUCAGUUGCCAUCAUUAAGUUGGGCACUCUGGCGAGACUGCCGGUGACAAAUCGGAGGAAGGUGGGGACGACGUCAAAUCAUCAUGCCCCUUAUGCCCAGGGCUACACACGUACUACAAUGGCCGAUAACAAAGUGCAGCGAAACCGUGAGGUGGAGCGAAUCACAAAACUCGGUCUCAGUUCAGAUUGCAGGCUGCAACUCGCCUGCAUGAAGUUGGAAUUGCUAGUAAUCGCGGAUCAGAAUGCCGCGGUGAAUACGUUCCCGGGCCUU